GGAGAGGUGCCAGAGUGGCCGAUUGGGCGCGCCUGGAGAGCGCGUUUGCUCCAAAAGGGCAACGGGGGUUCGAAUCCCUCCCUCUCCGCCA
rnacentral:tRNA from 2 species